UACGUAGGGGGCAAGCGUUGUCCGGAAUCAUUGGGCGUAAAGAGCGUGUAGGCGGCUCGAUAAGUCCGCUGUGAAAGUCCAGGGCUCAACCCUGGAAGGCCGGUGGAAACUGUCGGGCUAGAGUCCGGAAGAGGCGAGUGGAAUUCCCGGUGUAGCGGUGAAAUGCGCAGAUAUCGGGAGGAACACCAAUGGCGAAGGCAGCUCGCUGGGACGGUACUGACGCUGAGAAGCGAAAGCAUGGGGAGCGAACAGG
rnacentral:rRNA from 1 species